UACGUAGGGGGCUAGCGUUGUCCGGAAUCAUUGGGCGUAGAGCGCGUGUAGGCGGCCCGGUAAGUCCGCUGUGAAAGUCGGGGGCUCAACCCUCGAAAGCCGGUGGAUACUGUCGGGCUCGAGUGCGGAAGAGGCGAGUGGAAUUCCUGGUGUAGCGGUGAAAUGCGCAGAUAUCAGGAGGAACACCGAUUGCGAAGGCAGCUCGCUGGGACGUUACUGACGCUGAGGCACGAAAGCGUGGGGAGCAAACAGG
rnacentral:rRNA from 1 species